CCUACGGGAGGCAGCAGUGAGGAAUAUUGGUCAAUGGGCGCUAGCCUGAACCAGCCAAGUAGCGUGAAGGAUGACUGCCCUAUGGGUUGUAAACUUCUUUUAUAUGGGAAUAAAGUGCAGUACGUAUACUGCUUUGCAUGUACCUUAUGAAUAAGGAUCGGCUAACUCCGUGCCAGCAGCCGCGGUAAUACGGAGGAUCCGAGCGUUAUCCGGAUUUAUUGGGUUUAAAGGGAGCGUAGGCGGGUUGUUAAGUCAGUUGUGAAAGUUUGCGGGUCAACCGUAAAAUUGCAGUUGAUACUGGUGUCCUUGAGUACGGUAGAGGUAGGCGGAAUUCGUGGUGUAGCGGUGAAAUGCUUAGAUAUCACGAAGAACUCCGAUUGCGAAGGCAGCCUGCUGGAGUGUAACUGACGCUGAUGCUCGAAAGUGUGGGUAUCGAACAGGAUUAGAUACCCCUGUAGUC
rnacentral:rRNA from 1 species